rnacentral:pre_miRNA from 1 species
CAUUCUUUCAGUGUUGAAACAACGUCUACUGAACCAGGCUCCAAACCAAGUUCACUGGAUUUUGUUUCAAUAUUGCAAGAAUG